rnacentral:rRNA from 1 species
GGGUCAGUAGGUUGGUCGUGCCACCGGUACGUACUGGUCUCACUGAUUCCUCCUUCCUGAAGAACCGUAAUGCCCUUAAUUUGUUGUUGCGGGGAAACAGGACUGUUACUUUGAAAAAAUUAGAGUGUUUAAAGCAAGCUAACGCUUGAAUACAUUAGCAUGGAAUAAUGAAAUAGGACGAUCGAUCCUAUUUUGUUGGUUUCUAGGAUUGACGUA